CGUCCCUCCUAACCGUUUGAAUUUCACGAAAAAACCAUCCGCUCACCCUACGUAAAAUACAGUAGUGGCCGCUUCCGAAAACAGCCACGCCGCCGGUCGUGCGACGUUAUCCGAUUUUCACUCUUCCGGUACAAGUAUAUUGCGUAUACGCCGACAAAUUAAAAAGAUACGGACAUGCUUCGCGCGAUUGGCGGGCCACUGUUAUAGGUGAAAAGUUCGCAGGGUAGGACAUAGAGAGGAAUUUAAUGUAUACCGUCUGCACGCGAAUAAUAAUCUUUGCUAACGAAAAACGAUUCUGAGCGGAGUUCGGAUGUACUGCGUGUUUUAAAAGGCCGUAGUAUUAACGAUUU